rnacentral:tRNA from 1 species
GACCCUAUCGUCCAGAGGCCUAGGACACCCCCCUUUCACGGGGGUAACACGGGUUCGAAUCCCGUUAGGGUCACCA